rnacentral:rRNA from 1 species
UACGUAGGGGGCAAGCGUUGUCCGGAAUCAUUGGGCGUAAAGAGCGUGUAGGCGGCCAGAUAAGUCCGCUGUGAAAUCUCGAGGCUCAACUUCGAGCUGUCGGUGGAAACUGUCUGGCUAGAGUCCGGAAGAGGAGAAUGGAAUUCCUGGUGUAGCGGUGAAAUGCGCAGAUAUCAGGAAGAACACCCGUGGCGAAGGCGGUUCUCUGGGCCGAAAUUGACGCUGAGGAGCGAAAGCGUGGGGAGCAAACAGG